CAGCGUGUCCCGGUAAGAACGCACAGUGUAAGUACGUCUGAAUGAGAUAUCUCGAGCGGCAUUAAUUUGCCAGGAUCGAAUCGAGUUCGAAGCUUCCGUGAGCGCUUUGCUCUGCCGUGAAUGAUAUCUCGUACCGAUCGAACGGUCCGCGAGCCUCGUAAAGGCUUGCCACGACACACAACCACGCGUAGACCACCGUGUCCGUACACACGUGAUCUCAUUAAGUCCCACCGCUGUUCGAGACCAGGUUGCUAGCGCAUUACUCGUUUACUCGCGCGGCGCCGUCGCCGCGAGUCGCCGCGAGGACAGCAAUAAAUACGUUGCGCUGACGGACACAGAUGGCGGGGACAGUUCUGUGUCAACUUUGCAACAAGGGUUGUCGAUUGACUUGGAACGCCGCCUGUUCGCAGUAACCUAGAAUGGAGCGUGGAAAUAAUUUAUAAUCUCCAGUCUCGUAGUUGUACUCUGUUCCUUGAUGAGAAAUUCACUUUGGCGUAUGUGCUUUAGAGUGUUGUGAGUUCUCGUCGAAGAAGCGUGUGUUACGUUGGUCAUCUAUGUAGUUUCGAAAGGAAUCAGACUCGAACCACGGGUUUUCUAGCUAUUAGAAAAUCCAGUUGCGCGAACGAGAAGGAGAAAGGGUGUUUCGUAGAAGCGGCGGCAAGUGGCUCUCUCGCUCUAUCGCCUGGAUAUGAUAGGAACACCGAUGAACAGAUACCAAGGAACGAUCCUAGACAUGGAGACAGUGAAGAAGGUUCGUGUGCACCAGAAAUGUCUACAGGAACGUAACCCACUUUACGUGUAAUUCUCCAAUCGGUUGAUUCCUCGUAAUACAGCCUCGUAAUCUACGCAAUUCCAUUCAACAUACUCUCCUCGCCCUAGUCAAGCAGAAGAGCGUUACACGAGCAUAUCGACUCGGCCAGGUCGGCGCCAAUGCGGCCACAUUAAUAAAAGGAAUUUCCAACAAGAGUUUGCGACGAUUCUAGGGGAAAUGCGAGGACACAAGCUGGCGACGUGCAUGGUACGAUUCGCGUAGGUGCCGUCACGGUGGCUGACGCGUGAAGUCAACAAUAGCCGUCGUUGAUGAGAGAGAAGAGGAGAGAGACGGUCCAUUAGCUGAGCUGUCUCUCAACCUGGUUGCUAGUACGUAUUAUCUAUACAAUUAAUGCGAAUGCGUGCCUAAUGACACAAUAGUAAGGAAAGAUCUUCUAGCCAAUGUUCAUUUUCCGUACCAAAAUAGUGAAAAAGCAUUUGCUAGGUAGAAGCAUGUUCGAUCUUCGUAGUUGAAGAAAUUAUACACUGGCUUACGAAAGUAUUCGAACACUUGUACAUACCGUUUAUGAAUAUAUGUGAAUAUAUUGUUUCUUAUACGAAGUGCAUACGAUAUAGACGACAAAUUUUCUACGAUAAGUGUUCGAAUUCUUUUGUGAGUCUGUGUAUAAAACCAAUAGAUGCAGCAGCAUUUAAAAUAAUAUUAAUCAUAAACGUAAUAUUAAAAACAUAACAUUAAUAGCGUAGUUAUGAUCUACGUGUAUGUUGGUUAAUCCAACAUUCACGUCAGUUGCUUAUGAACCUACACACACAUUUAUAUCUUGCAUCACAACCUGUAUAGUUGUCUAAUAAUAUGAUCUUUCCUAUAAUCGUCGAGCAAUUCAAGGUUUGUAUCGCGCCGUCAAACUGAAUGAAGCUCACAUCAGUGAAGCGACAUAUAACAAGUCACCAUUGAAGAAUUAUCGCGUGGAAUCUACCGCAUUCUUCUAUAAUAAAUUGCGAUAAACGAACGGUACAGUCCACUUUUUUUCCAAAUCAUUUUUCUUCCGCGAAUAGCGAUGAUAGAAUCAAAGUGUCGACACGAGCGAGCACGUGCAGGAAAUGCAAACGCCCCGAACAAAUGUCCGGCCAUCGAUUAAUGUACUCGUACUAAUGAUGUGGGAAUUUUAAUUCCGUAGCAAUAAUUCGUACAAAUAUAUCGCGUAAUUAAAUAUGGAUCCAGGCAUUAAAUACCGCGAGGCUGUCUCGCGUUCAGGGCAUCUGGUGCGCGGCCGAUAUUUGCAAAGCCUACGGGGAAUCUCCGGCUCCGGAGAGCGCGAUAAAUAAUUAAACGCCGGCAUAAUUGGUUAUAGGCGCGAGAUUUUAGACGGGGAAUUUAUUAACCCGGCCGAGCGGAUUUAUUAUGUUUGACCGAGUGAUUAAAUCGCAAUGAAAAUGGACUUGGUUACGCCUCACGGUGUACGGAGCGUGAAUCAAUUGCGGGACGAAUAAAUCGUCCGUUGAGGCGGUCGAUCUUAUCGCGAUAAUGGUACCGAUUUUCAGCCGAUUCGAGGAGGAUGCCGUGCGAGGAGCAAGGAAAUCGUGUUACAGUACGUGCAACUGGUGCACUUGGAUGACAAUCUCCGAUCAACCGGCCCGAUAGUAGCACCCGGGGAAUAAAUCUUCUUAAGUAUUACUUUGGGCUAUAUCUGUGCUAAAUUAAAGUACCAUACGUAUAAUUGUAAGCCUCUCGAAGGUGUUAAAAAUGGUUUUCGAUUAGUUUUGAAGAUUCGGUUUUGUAGAUAGAUCAGCGAAUUGAGCGUCCUGUAAAUUUUUUAAAGGUGUACGGAUAGUCGUGGAGGCGAGAAGCUAAAUUGCCGUGAUCGAGGUCUUGUAUUUUUAAAGUGCGUGGUCUAGCUGCGAUGUUUCUUCGUUUAGAGAAAAUGGAGAGGAAAAUAGAACAGCGAGACACAGGGAAGCCUCAAAGCCCAUUUGAAUUGGCUGAGUGUGGGACAGGUAGCGAUGGAACGAAACGGUAUAUGCAACGAACAAUUUUUUUACUACAAGCUGUUUUAUUCAAAUAUAUCAUUGCGUUGUAUAUUUGAUAAUUAUUUAAUGACACUCGAUUUUGUAUGACAAUGAAGUAUAUUCCAAUAUGAAUUUCAAAUAAUUUAUAGGCGGCAUUACCAAAAGACUUAUAGAUUAUUCAAACCUUAUUUUCCGACUUUCUGUAAAUUAACCGAAAAUGUUACCUGAUACGAGAUAGAAAUAAUACAAAAAUGUGACCUAGCAAAGCAUAAAUUGCACUUUCAUUAUCUGCACGGAUUAUUGGAAUUUUAACGGAAUUAAAAAAAUUCAUUCGCUUUAAGAUAUUGUUCGUGCAAAAGACGACGCAUUGCUGCAAAGUCUCGUUUAAAUAAAAUGCCAAAGCCCAUCACGUUUCUCUGAUAUUGCUUUUCCAGAACGAGGAAAGUAGGUAACAUCUCUGUAACCGACGUGCAAUCAGGUCACGACGAUUAACAAAAAGAUUUCGCAUAUGUUCCUUGAAACGUCGACGUUUGUCUUUUCAAGCAAACGCCCAUUCUCCAAGAAAAUUCUUAUCUUUAGAUUUCGGAGAAUUUAUUGAAACAUUAAAACCAGGUCAUACGAGAAACGGAACGAUGUAACAGGGAAAAACACAAGGACGAACGGCACCAUGUACAUUGUACGUCGUUCUUAGG